rnacentral:tRNA from 1 species
AUGGGUAUAACUCAGUGGUAGAGUACACGUUUAGCAUACAGGAGGUCCUGGGUUCAAUCCCCAGUACCUCUA